rnacentral:rRNA from 1 species
UACGUAGGGACCAAGCGUUGUUCGGAUUUACUGGGCGUAAAGGGCGCGUAGGCGGCAUGACAAGUCACUUGUGAAAUCUCUGGGCUUAACUCAGAACGGCCAAGUGAUACUGUCGCGCCAGAGUGCAGAAAGGGCAAUCGGAAUUCUUGGUGUAGCGGUGAAAUGCGUAGAUAUCAAGAGGAACACCUGAGGCGAAGGCGGGUUGCUAGGCUGACACUGACGCUGAUGCGCGAAAGCCAGGGGAGCAAACGGG